rnacentral:lncRNA from 1 species
CUACUCCCAGAUGUGGUCUUUCUGGUUCUGAAGCUUUUGCUUCAGUCACCCUGAAUUUUGCCAGCCCUAUGCAUGCUAUACCUUGGAUUGCCAACUUGCCCUCACUGAAGCCAGUUUCUCUGGUUAGAAUAGUUGCCCCAACCCAUGCCUAAUACUCUAGUAAACAAGGUUCUACCUGGGCUUAGGUUAACUUUUGCUCCUUUGGGCCCUGUGUUCUACCAGCAUUCCAUUUAUCUGAAACUCUCCGUCACCUUAAGAACUUAUCUGUUCUUUAAUGAUUUGCUGCUGCUUCCUGGGUUCGAAAGAACCCAGUUCAGGAGUUUCUGUUUUAGUUUGAGAUCUUAUAGGCCUGUCUCAUCAGGUUGGUGUCAGCCCAGCUAGGAUUAGGCAGAAUUGGGUGGGGGCUGUAGUGCAUUUUUGGCACAGCAUGUACCUGUCUGACUAAUUCUCUGUCUUUUCUUUCCUGUUGCAAUUCAUGGGUCUUAGCAUCUUCUGAAUGGUGUUUAGUAGGUCAUCCUGUUGAUUUCCUGCUAGGGAGUAGCAUACUCUGGCUCUGUACCAUUGGCCAAGGGACUUAAGGAUAGAUGAGGGGCUACAGUUUUGUUAAAUGGAACAAUAUGAAGAGAUGGCAUUGUAAAAAAAAAAAAAGGCUUGGCAGCAGGGCCCAUUUGAAUGGUUGGUCCUUGGCUCCUUUGUUGAUAUAGGCAGAUCCUUGAUGGGAAUUUGGAAUGAUCCCAAAUAUUGUAGAUCACUGGUACAUCAAGUCAUCCUCAAGGUUGUCUGUGUAACAGUCUUGAAUGAUAUUUUGUCAGUCUUUGGAGAUUCUCUGUAUAGGGUUUAAUCAUUUAGUUAUUUCAGUUGAGCCUGUUUAGUUUCUUUGCAAGGAGAUAAGAAAUGUGAAAGAGAUGCAGACAUUAGGGGAAAAAAGUCAGGAGCCUUGUUUCCCCACCCUCUACUUGGGUUCUGGAACUAGACUCAUAGGUGAGUAGUGAGGAGCUGGGCCCAAGCACAUUAAUCCUAAAUCUAGCUCUGCUUUGCGCUUGCUCCAGUUCUUGUAUCAAAUUCACUUCAAGCCACCCAGAGUAGUAUGUAGAGGAGUCAUUCAGGACCGUGCUUAUACUUCAUUGUAUCAAAUGGGAGAUCCAGUAAUUUAUAGCCUAUUGUUUCUGGAGCCUGGAGAUGGCUCUGCAUAAGAUUUGCUGAAGCAAAUUUUAUUACAUUAGAAGAGAACCUAGCUGGCUGCAUCCUACACUGGAAGCUUUUAGAUGCUAAUAAGGAGGUCAUGUAAAGGUCACAGAAUGACUCUGGAAUCCAUUCCCCGCCAAGAAAGCAUGGGCUCUCCUAGAUACUCCAGGAUAAUCUUGUUUUAAGGUCAGCUGAUGAGCAACAUUAAUUUUAUCUGCACUCUUAAUUCCCCCUUCCUAUGUAAUUGUGCUGUGUAACAUAGGACAUGAGCAAUUGGUGGCGGUGGGGGUUAUUACUUUGGCCACCACAGUAACUAUUUUACGCCAGGUACUCAGCUAAGCACUGGUGAAUUAAGCAUGAAUAACACACACUCCCUAAUCUGUCUGUCUGUGUCAUCCCUUUAUGUCAAAAGAUGUCUUUUUGUCACUUCCAGCUGGAUC